rnacentral:lncRNA from 1 species
GAGUUGUGGUGAGUGACUGUGUGGGUGAUGGAUGAUAGGCGUGGGUGCGUAUUGAGUGAUGGAGAGAAAAGGAGUGUGUGCGUGUUGAGUGAUGGAGAGAAAAGGAGUGUGUGAGUGUAUUCCUCCUUUUGAGAGUUCUGUGAGGGGNGAUGGUGUGUGUGUCUUUGUAAAUGGAAGAGGUAAUGAGUGAGUGGUGAAGUAGGAAUGGUGAGAAGGUGAGAAUGGUUCUCUGUUUUUGCGGUUGUUUUGAUUGGGGGAAGAAGGUGGGAUGAUUUCGUGAUGUUGGAUUGAUGAAGGAAAGUCUAGAUAAUUACUGAAGAUUGCACAAAGAGGAUGCCUAGUCUAGGAGAAAGGUUGAAAAAAAAAUGGUGUAAUGGAUGACCUUCUGGUUUUCUGGUUUUCUCCCUAAUGUUUCUUUUUCUCUUUUCUCCAAUGUGUAUAUCCAUCCUCCUGUCAUCAUGGGAAUGAAGGGCCUUGUACUGCA